GCGUCUUUGGCCGAGUGGUUAAGGCGGCAGACUCAAGGAAGAAAGGUUACAUUCUCUGCGCGUUCUGCUUCACGUUUGUGAGCAUGGGUUCGAACCCCAUAGGACGCA